rnacentral:rRNA from 1 species
GAUAAACGCUGGCGGCGUGCCUAAUACAUGCAAGUCGAGCGAACGGACGAGAAGCUUGCUUCUCUGAUGUUAGCGGCGGACGGGUGAGUAACACGUGGAUAACCUACCUAUAAGACUGGGAUAACUUCGGGAAACCGGAGCUAAUACCGGAUAAUAUUUUGAACCGCAUGGUUCAAAAGUGAAAGACGGUCUUGCUGUCACUUAUAGAUGGAUCCGCGCUGCAUUAGCUAGUUGGUAAGGUAACGGCUUACCAAGGCAACGAUGCAUAGCCGACCUGAGAGGGUGAUCGGCCACACUGGAACUGAGACACGGUCCAGACUCCUACGGGAGGCAGCAGUAGGGAAUCUUCCGCAAUGGGCGAAAGCCUGACGGAGCAACGCCGCGUGAGUGAUGAAGGUCUUCGGAUCGUAAAACUCUGUUAUUAGGGAAGAACAUAUGUGUAAGUAACUGUGCACAUCUUGACGGUACCUAAUCAGAAAGCCACGGCUAACUACGUGCCAGCAGCCGCGGUAAUACGUAGGUGGCAAGCGUUAUCCGGAAUUAUUGGGCGUAAAGCGCGCGUAGGCGGUUUUUUAAGUCUGAUGUGAAAGCCCACGGCUCAACCGUGGAGGGUCAUUGGAAACUGGAAAACUUGAGUGCAGAAGAGGAAAGUGGAAUUCCAUGUGUAGCGGUGAAAUGCGCAGAGAUAUGGAGGAACACCAGUGGCGAAGGCGACUUUCUGGUCUGUAACUGACGCUGAUGUGCGAAAGCGUGGGGAUCAAACAGGAUUAGAUACCCUGGUAGUCCACGCCGUAAACGAUGAGUGCUAAGUGUUAGGGGGUUUCCGCCCCUUAGUGCUGCAGCUAACGCAUUAAGCACUCCGCCUGGGGAGUACGACCGCAAGGUUGAAACUCAAAGGAAUUGACGGGGACCCGCACAAGCGGUGGAGCAUGUGGUUUAAUUCGAAGCAACGCGAAGAACCUUACCAAAUCUUGACAUCCUUUGACAACUCUAGAGAUAGAGCCUUCCCCUUCGGGGGACAAAGUGACAGGUGGUGCAUGGUUGUCGUCAGCUCGUGUCGUGAGAUGUUGGGUUAAGUCCCGCAACGAGCGCAACCCUUAAGCUUAGUUGCCAUCAUUAAGUUGGGCACUCUAAGUUGACUGCCGGUGACAAACCGGAGGAUGGUGGGGAUGACGUCAAAUCAUCAUGCCCCUUAUGAUUUGGGCUACACACGUGCUACAAUGGACAAUACAAAGGGCAGCGAAACCGCGAGGUCAAGCAAAUCCCAUAAAGUUGUUCUCAGUUCGGAUUGUAGUCUGCAACUCGACUACAUGAAGCUGGAAUCGCUAGUAAUCGUAGAUCAGCAUGCUACGGUGAAUACGUUCCCGGGUCU